rnacentral:rRNA from 1 species
AGCAACCACAAACCAGGUUGGCCUCGGAUCAGGUGGGUACACCCGCUGAACUUAAGCAUAC